UAAAAAAGUACAGUGCAAUUUAACAAAAAUCAUUAUUUAACAAAGCAAAAUUUUAUUUAUUUAUAGUUCACAAGUCGCGACAGUCACAUAGUAACUGCAGGGUUGCUAGUUUAAUUUAAUUAAAUAAAUUUUUAUUAUUUUUUCUUUCAGA